CCUUUGUACGUUAGCGGCGGACGGGUGGAGUAACACGUGGGUAACCUACCUAUAAGACUGGGAUAACUUCGGGAAACCGGAGCUAAUACCGGAUAAUAUUUCGAACCGCAUGGUUCGAUAGUGAAAGGUGGUUUUGCUAUCACUUAUAGAUGGACCCGCGCCGUAUUAGCUAGUUGGUAAGGUAACGGCUUACCAAGGCGACGAUACGUAGCCGACCUGAGAGGGUGAUCGGCCACACUGGAACUGAGACACGGUCCAGACUCCUACGGGAGGCAGCAGCG
rnacentral:rRNA from 1 species